CGGACGGGUGAGUAACGCGUGGGUAACCUGCCUCACACAGGGGGAUAACAGUUGGAAACGGCUGCUAAUACCGCAUAAGCGCACAGUACCGCAUGGUGCAGUGUGAAAAACUCCGGUGGUGUGAGAUGGACCCGCGUCUGAUUAGCCAGUUGGCGGGGUAACGGCCCACCAAAGCGACGAUCAGUAGCCGGCCUGAGAGGGUGAACGGCCACAUUGGGACUGAGACACGGCCCAA
rnacentral:rRNA from 1 species